rnacentral:misc_RNA from 1 species
CACAGAUUCAUUUCAAUUUUCACUUAUUCAUAUUCAGCAGCAUAUAUACACAGGAAAUUCACACCGUUUUUCAAUACACACACACUGUUUUCUGAACAAAACUAGGUGUUUGAUGGGCAUAAUAACAAGUGUAUAUAGUUUAUUAGUAUUUCACUAAGAAUCAUCCCCUCCUGCGAUAAUCAGCACCUGGUUCAUGAUCCUUAUACCUCUCCUGCACCGAUUGAAUAUCUCCAUCGCCACUAGAAGCCUCUUCCAAGCCGUCAGACGUCUUUUCCGCAGUUUGGCUAGCCCCACCUUGAUCUACGACAUGGGUUGUUUCCUGCGCCUUUGCCUUCUCCUCUGCAACUCUUCUGAACUCAUCAGCUAGCGAAGGUGCUCUCUCUUCUACUCCUUGCCCGUGACUUUGUGUGUUGUACUGAUUAUAUCCCUUGAUGGGGCUGUAGAGAAAUGGUUUUGAAGGCCUCGCAGGCAUUAACGGCCACGAAAGGUUGCAGAAAAGCAAGAGACGGCGACCCAUCGGGUAAAGAUUAGUCUUGCAAGAAAU